GAAAGGCGCUGUGCAGCGUGCAGGCAGCCUCGUGGGCUGUGAGUUUGAACGUGUACGUACGUGUAUGUCUCUGUUACGUGUGUGGGAGUGUGUGUGCGUCCGUACGUGCUGGGGGGCCAGCCGUGGGAAUGGUGCCCUCCGCUUCCAGGAAGCUGGGAGUCCGGGUCGUGGGGUGAGCGGCUAGAAGGCCGGGAGGCUGCCGGAAGUCUCACUCCUUCCCAUCUUCUCUUUCCUCGACUCCACUGAAGAGAAGACAUCCCCCUUCCUCCGGGAGGUGCAGGUCAACCUCAUUGACUUUAAGAAAUGCAAUGACUUCCUGGUCUAUGACAGUUACCUUACCCCAAGGAUGAUGUGUGCUGGGGACCUUCGGGGAGGCAGAGACUCCUGCCAGGUGAGGCUGCCUGGGAGAAGGCUGGGGUGUUGGGUUUGGAGUGAGAAUCUGGUGCCCACCGUUGCUUGCUCAAGGACCACCUCCCCUCCCCGGCUGAUAAUGUGUGCUCCCUCCUCCCCGCCCCCCCCCCCCCCCCCCCCCCCCCCCCCCCCGUAGGGAGACAGCGGGGGGCCCCUGGUCUGUGAGCAGAACAGUCGCUGGUACCUGGCAGGAGUCACUAGCUGGGGCACAGGCUGUGGCCAGAGGAACAAGCCCGGUGUGUAUACCAAAGUGACAGAAGUCCUCCCCUGGAUCUACAGCGAGAUGGAGGUGAGAGCCUGCAGGGGGUGCUGCGCGGGGCAGGCUGGGAGCUCCCAAAGGUGGGGUGCCUGCAAGAGGGCCCGGGCUUUCCCCAGGGGCUCGGCAGAGUUCCCCUCACCCCCUUGUGCUUGGGGUGUUCAGAAGACUGGGGCGGGACAGCAGUCGAAUGGUAGGCCGACCCCAGCUGCCCGUGUUUCUGUCCCUCAGAUUCUUCCCUCUGAAGGGUUGAAAAGGGGUGGGCCCAGGCUGGGUGCCGGCCCCGGGAGCACCGUCCUCCCCCCCCCCCCCCCCCCCACCCCCCCGGGAUGGCCAGGGUGUGAGUUCACACAGCCCGCUGGAGGGGCGUGUGCAGGCGGCCUCCCUCCUUGGCAGGAAGUUAGUCUCGUGGAGAUGGGGCAGGAGGGAGAUUUACCUCCCCCUCUGCUGCCCCCGCUCAGCCCCUACCUUCCCUGAGCCUCCUGUCUCGGUUGUAAAGCAGGAGCUCCGUGCUCCCCUCUCCUUCCUCUGCCAGAUCGAGGGCAGAACAGAGAGCUUGGGUGGCCGCUCUGGAAAUCCAGUCCGGUCGGUCUCUCUGCUUCCAUGGUUCCUCGUUGCUGCUUGUCUCCGAGGAACAGUGCCCAGUGACAGCUGGACUGGAUUUUAGGCUCUGGACCCCCACCUUCGGCCUCUGUAUUCCUGGCCCACCCUCACUCUCUUCUCCCUUGUUCUCUUCCUCAGAGUGAGGUGCGCUUCCGGAAAUCCUAAGCAGCUGUCCUGUCCCACCUCACAGCCCUGGCUGCAUAAAGACUCUGGCCAAAGCGACUGGGCCAUUUGCAGUGUCAUCUGGGCCAAAGGUUCCGAGGCACCUGCGUCACUCCCACCUCCGCUGUCUACUGCCUCUGUGAAUGUGCACGUGUGUGUGUGUGUGUGUGUGUGCGCGUGCGUGCGUGUAUGUGUGUAGUUGCUCUCCCAAGGUUUUUCCAGAAACCAGGAGAACUGUCAGCCCUUUCCAAACCCCAGGCUGGAAAGCACCUGGAGAUAACAGUUUGGGCGCUGUGGACCUUCCUGUAAGGGCGUCCGUCACGGAUGGAGGAGGUUGAGCCCAGACAGCGCCCAGAGGAAGGGCCUAGAAGAUCACGUCAGAAAUUCCUGCUCCUCGGACCCUGGCUCGGAGACUAGCCCAGACUGAGAAGCCACCAGCAUCGCCGCCGUCCUGGGAUGGAUUGCGUGUGUCGUCGGAGUACCGGGGCCGUCCCCGGCGGGAAGGUGCCCCCCCCCCUCGGCAUUACAAGCAUCCUGCCCUUUCUCAGGCCUCCUGCGGGUGCCCUGGGUGUGGAGGGCUGACUGAGCGGUGGCUGCCCAGGCUGACAGCUGGCCGUGUGUGGUCACAGGCUACUGGGGCAGAUUUUUAUUGUAUGUUUAUAUUCAAGAAAUGGAACUGGAUGUAUUUUUAAAGAUUCUCCAAAACUUCCAGGAGCCUGAAGAGCUAACAUCCAUCACCCCAAACACUCCAAGAGACUCUUGGGGGCUGUACCAUUCCAGAGUCUUGCUGAGUGUUCCUGACAUCCAGGGACCCGAGGAAGGAGCCCCUUCGGGGCGCUUAGGGAAGAGCGUCCUCGCGUGGGCUGGCGGGCAGGUCAUCACAGAGAGCCACGACUGUCGCUGCGUCCAAGGGCUACACCCAGGGCGUGAAGACAUGGCUGCUGCUGCUUCUCCGUGGGCGUCGGAGCCCGGGGACAGUCCGGGUGGACAGACACCCCUCAUACCCAGCGCUGUCCCGGACCUGCCAGUUUCUCUCAGCCCCUCCGCCUUUCAGUUUCUCAGCUGCUUCAGAAACAGCACGGACACGAACGCUGCCGUGGAGGAGGGUGGACACUGUCCCCAGGCCCUCCAGAUAGCCGUCGUGAAGGAUCUGAGUUGCUGUGCUCCUGUAAGUUGUCCGUGUGCCUGGCCUCCGUGUCAGCUGGAGGUCUGGGCCUCCCUCAGCCUUUCCUGGCCCGUCCAGUUCUCCUCACUUUCCUGGGUCUCGCCUGGUGAUACUAGGACUCCCAGAGGCAGGGUCCAAGCAGGGCAGCCCAGCCCAGCUCAGGCAGGUGGCUGCCCGGGGGCUAGACCGCCCAGGAAGAGCAAGGCUGGGCAGAGCCCGAGGGGGCUGGUUGCAUGGUAUCGAGGCCGGGGGUCCGGGAGGGCAACGUUCAUGUCCACGGCAUCCCCAGCAAUAGUUUUCAGCAAUAAAAGUUGUGUGACCCG
rnacentral:lncRNA from 1 species